rnacentral:rRNA from 1 species
AGUGAACGCUGGCGGUAGGCCUAACACAUGCAAGUCGAACGGCAGCACAGUAAGAGCUUGCUCUUACGGGUGGCGAGUGGCGGACGGGUGAGGAAUACAUCGGAAUCUACUUUUUCGUGGGGGAUAACGUAGGGAAACUUACGCUAAUACCGCAUACGACCUACGGGUGAAAGCAGGGGAUCUUCGGACCUUGCGCGAUUGAAUGAGCCGAUGUCGGAUUAGCUAGUUGGCGGGGUAAAGGCCCACCAAGGCGACGAUCCGUAGCUGGUCUGAGAGGAUGAUCAGCCACACUGGCACUGAGACACGGUCCCGACUCCUACGGGAGGCAGCAGUGGGGAAUAUUGGACAAUGGGCGCAAGCCUGAUCCAGCCAUACCGCGUGGGUGAAGAAGGCCUUCGGGUUGUAAAGCCCUUUUGUUGGGAAAGAAAAGCAGCAGGUUAAUACCCCGCUGUUCUGACGGUACCCAAAGAAUAAGCACCGGCUAACUUCGUG